GACGAACGCUGGCGGCGUGCUUAACACAUGCAAGUCGAGCGGUAAGGCCCUUUCGGGGGUACACGAGCGGCGAACGGGUGAGUAACACGUGGGUGACCUGCCCUCAGCUCUGGGAUAAGCCUGGGAAACCGGGUCUAAUACCGGAUAUGACUCCAUGACGCAUGUUGUGGGGUGGAAAGCCUUGUGCGGCUGAGGAUGGGCCCGCGGCCUAUCAGCUUGUUGGUGGGGUGAUGGCCUACCAAGGCGACGACGGGUAGCCGGCCUGAGAGGGCGACCGGCCACACUGGGACUGAGACACGGCCCAGACUCCUACGAGAGGCAGCAGUGGGGAAUCUUGCGCAAUGGGCGAAAGCCUGACGCAGCGACGCCGCGUGAGGGAUGACGGCCU
rnacentral:rRNA from 1 species